rnacentral:lncRNA from 1 species
UCUUUGUUCUAGCUUGGUUGAACUAAAUUUGAUUUUUAUUAUUGAUAGCUGGGAUGCAGCAAGCAUUACAUACAGGCACAUCUCUGUUUAUUAUAUGGCUAGAAAUUCACAUCAAUACAAGAAUCAUGGUAAGUUCUAGUUCACACAUUCUUAUCAAAAAAGAAGAAUAUAUCAGGAGUGUCUUAGCCCCUUAGGGCUGCUGAAACAAAAAUAUCAUAGACUGAGUAGCUUAAAAAACAAAAAAAAAAUAUUUCUUAUAAAUAAGUCAAAGAUCAAGGCAGAUUCAGUGUCUGGUGAGAGCCCAACUUUUCACUAGUGAUCAUCUUUUCGCUGAGAUCUCACGUGAUAGAAGAGGCAAGGAGGCUCUCUGGGGUCUCUUAUAAAAGCACUAAUUCCAUUUGUGAGGGCCCCACCUUCACAACCUAAUACCACUAUGCAACCCAUUCAUAGGUUUUCAACUUAUGAAUUUGGGGUCGAGGGAUACAAAAAUUCAAUCCAUAGCAAGUGGCUUUAUGUAUGGUGACUUAUGGUUCAUUACUGAGUGUAUUCCUGAUAGAAAAGAACUUCCAUUUUCAUCAGUCAUUGAUGAGGUUAGUUUAUAGAUAUCAAGCCUCUUAUCUCCUUCAUCACUCACCUAUUUCCGACACCAUGUCCAGUAAACUAUGUUGAUACUGUGAUAGGGCUUCUAGGCUCUGCAUCUUUGUGUCCUGAUGCCAAGUGAAUCAGCACUGUGGGCAGUAGAAAUAUUCUGGGACAGUUUCUACACUGGGAUGGUUCUCAGUAACUGAAGUGAACAUGGAAGUGACUGAAGUCCACAGACGUACAUCUCAGGAAACCCAAACGAAAUGUUGUCCCAAUCCAUUCCCUCAACUAGAUCUCCAAAAUACAGGUGGCCAUUCCGGACACACUGGCUUCUAACUGGGGAAGUAUCAAGGGGAAGGUGGAGUAGAUGAAGACAGUGGUCUUAACCAAUUGCAUUUAAAUAUCUUACUCUUCCAAACUUUACAAAACAGAUGGCUAUGUGAAUAUACGACCUGGGCCCUACCCAAGGUCUUGGAAGGGGCUCAUACAAAUGAGGGACCCUAAAGCUCAAAGCUCAUUAGCAUCAUGGUAAAUUUGCAGCUAGUUGGAAUGACAAGUACUCCACAAAUUGUUUUUCUUUUCCUCCCAUGCAAUUUUUUUCUAGGACGAUGCCCAGCACCCAGUACACAAGUGCCCUUGCAGGGUAUACUCAACCAACACCUGACAAACACUGUAUUUUACUUCCCAUCCUCACUCAACUUGACUUAACACUACUUUGGUGGGUUUUUACUUGAAGUAGGUUUAAUUUUUUUUUUUAACAAAUUUAUUCAACAGGGUUUCUUAAAAUGUAGUCUACAAAAACCAUACUUCUAAGAAAGAAAGAGCUGGAGGUUGGCAUUUGAAAUCCAGAUAAAUUACACAGGAACAAUGCCCUCAUACUAAAUUCAACUAACACUUCAUUUACAUCAAUAUUGUACAGAGGGACACAAAGAAAUUUAUUAUGAAUCUUGGGCCCAAUCCAACCUCUUCACUAAAGCGUGUUGAGUUUGGAUAAUUUUGUUCCUCCACCAAAUAAAAGAGAAAAGAAUAAAAUAGAACAAACAUAAAUCCCACCUCCAAGAAUUUGUUAUAUUUACUUUUUAAACAGUUCUUUCCCAAGAGAUAAAAUAUGUUUCCAUAGCCUCUUCUACACAGAGAGCGGAAGUAGAAGGCAGUCUUUCCAGAGGCUUGGAUACUCUUUGUUCUAGCGAGAUUCUAAUAAAUGCACCCAAUUUAUAAGUGAUACUUUGAGGACUAUCUCACAGAAUUUAAAGCAAUCCAGGAUUUAAUAGCAAUCAACAGAAUCAAGGCAAAGUGAAACUAUUACGGCUGAACACACUGCAAAAGUGGAGUUUGAAUUGAUGCCGCAUAUUAUUCAUUUUGACAAGUGCAAACUCACAUUGAAGAUAGCAGGAGAAGAGACGGGGACUGCAAGGAAGGGUAAUACAAAUGUAAUAUUAACACGGAAACAAAUCUGACUUUAAACCUGGCGUGCCUCCUGGUUAGCAAGAAUAAUAAUAAGGCCUUGAAUUCUCAUUGUUUUUGCAUCGAAAGUAAUCAAAGAAGCCUCAAAUUUUAAUGGGAGAUAUGGUGGUCAGUCCACAUCAGUUAUAUCUUCAAAGGAAACCCGUUACCAAAUUAAAUGCGUGCAUUUGGGGGAUGGAUGCAGAUAGGGAACAUCAAAAAUGCACUCAGACAUUGAGAAAUACGGAAAGGAGAGCUUCAGGGCUCUCCCCACAAAGGCCAGCCAUCAGAGACUGACCCGAUACACAUAGGGUGGUGAGGCACUGAGGACACUCACAGCAAGGCUCUCAGCUCCUCCUUGGAACUAACUGGGGGUUCAAAGCUGUUCAAGACAUCUCAGCAAAUUGCCUGUGACUGGUGGGCUCCAAUGGACUUUCUCAAACACUCCAAUGGCACCAAGAACGCAAAGAUGCAAUCGGGCCUCCAAUUGCACAUGGCGAACACCAAGCCCAAGGACAUGUGCUGAGCCCACCCACCACACGCAUAUCCUGUGCAGAGUGUACUGCGUUUGUCUCACUGGCUGUCAUAGAAAUCUUAGGGGUGAGCCCUACUGUUCUUCUCAUUUUACUUGUGAGGAAACAGAAGCAAGCACAAAGCGGUUGAGGAAUUUGAGAGGGCCAGUCACAUCUAGGUGAUGCCAACACAAUGGCAGAAAAGAAUCUUAGUUAAAAGACAUGAAAUCGGUCUUUGAAAAUGUUUGUAUUUUGUUUGCCCACUGGGAUCCACGGGCUUUUCCAAGACUCACAGACACAGUCCAAUGUCCUGGGUUCUGAUUUCCCACAGAGCUCGACCUCUCUCUCUUCACUCUGCUCAGGGACUGCUGAGUAAGAUACUUAUAAAUACACUUGCUAACCUAAUGUCCCAAACUACACCAAAUGAAAAAAAAA